rnacentral:rRNA from 1 species
GACGAACGCUGGCGGCGUGCCUAAUACAUGCAAGUCGAGCGCAGGAAAUCGACGGAACCCUUCGGGGGGAAGUCGACGGAAUGAGCGGCGGACGGGUGAGUAACACGUAAAGAACCUGCCCUCAGGUCUGGGAUAACCACGAGAAAUCGGGGCUAAUACCGGAUGGGUCAUCGGACCGCAUGGUCCGAGGAUGAAAGGCGCUUCGGCGUCGCCUGGGGAUGGCUUUGCGGUGCAUUAGCUAGUUGGUGGGGUAAUGGCCCACCAAGGCGACGAUGCAUAGCCGACCUGAGAGGGUGAUCGGCCACACUGGGACUGAGACACGGCCCAGACUCCUACGGGAGGCAGCAGUAGGGAAUCUUCCACAAUGGACGAAAGUCUGAUGGAGCAACGCCGCGUGAACGAUGGAGGCCUUCGGGUCGUAAAGUUCUGUUGUAAGGGAAGAACAAGUGCCGCAGGCAAUGGCGGCACCUUGACGGUACCUUGCGAGAAAGCCACGGCUAACUACGUGCCAGCAGCCGCCGUAAAAC